rnacentral:rRNA from 1 species
AUUGAACGCUGGCGGCAGGCCUAACACAUGCAAGUCGAGCGAGCGGCGGACGGGUGAGUAAUGUAUGGGGACUGCCCGAUAGAGGGGGAUAACUACUGGAAACGGUGGCUCAUACCGCAUACUAUCGGAUAACCCAUAUGGGAUUAGCUAGUGGGUGGGGUAAUGGCUCACCAAGGCGACGAUCCCUAGCUGGUCUGAGAGGAUGAUCAGCCACACUGGAACUGAGACACGGCCCAGACUCCUACGGAGGCAGCAGUGGGGAAUAUUGCACAAUGGGCGCAAGCCUGAUGCAGCCAUGCCGCGUGUAUGAAGAAGGCCUUAGGGUUGUAAAGUACUUUCAGUGGGGAGGCGUUACCGACAGAAGAAGCACCGGCUAACUCCGUGCCAGCAGCCGCGGUAAUAC